GGCACUAUGGCUUAGCUGGCUAAGGCUCCUGUCUAGUAAACAGGAGAUCCUGGGUUCAACUCCCAGUGCUGCCA